UAAAAGCAUGACGGGUGUCCAGGUCCUCAAUUGUCUCUUCCAGCUCAGCUCCGAAGGAAUUUUCUCCAUCGUGACUCUGACCUGGAAGAGGUAGUUGAAGACCUGUGUCUGAGAAUAUACCGUAUGAACUUGAUCUAGACAAUUCUAGCGCAUAAGGACAUGCUUCCCCCUCCUC
rnacentral:ncRNA from 1 species